rnacentral:rRNA from 1 species
AGAGUUUGAUCAUGGCUCAGGACGAACGCUGGCGGCGUGCCUAACACAUGCAAGUCGAACGGGACCGGGGGCAACUUCGGUUCAGUGGCGGACGGGUGCGUAACACGUGAGGAACAUGACCCUCGGCGGGGGAUAGCCGGCCCAACGGCCGGGUAAUACCGCGUACGACCUUUCGGGGACAUCCCUGGAUGGUGAAAGCAGCAAUGCGCCGAUGGAGUGCCUCGCGGCCUAUCAGCUAGUUGGUGGGGUAACGGCCUACCAAGGCAACGACGGGUAGCUGGUCUGAGAGGAUGGCCAGCCACAUUGGGACUGAGACACGGCCCAGACUCCUACGGGAGGCAGCAGUGGGGAAUAUUGCGCAAUGGACGAAAGUCUGACGCAGCGACGCCGCGUGUGGGAUGACGGUCUUCGGAUUGUAAACCACUGUCGGGAGGGACGAAUACGCCGCAAGGCGGGUGACGGUACCUCCAAAGGAAGCACCGGCUAACUCCGUGCCAGCAGCCGCGGUAAUACGGAGGGUGCGAGCGUUGUCCGGAAUCACUGGGCGUAAAGGGCGCGUAGGCGGCCUGAUAAGUAGGGGGUGAAAUCCUGCGGCUUAACCGCAGGGCUGCCUUCUAAACUGUCAGGCUCGAGCACAGUAGAGGCAGGUGGAAUUCCCGGUGUAGCGGUGGAAUGCGUAGAGAUCGGGAAGAACAUCAGUGGCGAAGGCGGCCUGCUGGGCUGUUGCUGACGCUGAGGCGCGACAGCGUGGGGAGCAAACAGGAUUAGAUACCCCAGUAGUCC